AGGAAAAAAAACUACCGAAAACACACAGAGAAGACUUGAAAGCAGUAGGGAGUUUCUAGGAGUCUUAUCUUACAGGCUUGUCCGAGAGGCCCUGGAAGACAAGGACCCGUUUGAACACGCUCAACUUUAUUGUUCCCAACUGUGAGGUGAAGCGCAUAGGCGGCUGCGGGGAGCAAAACUUCCUAUGCAUCCUGGCUCCUCCCUUACCUCUUUGGAUCACACAGCUAUCGCAGAGGCUGGUUCCCAGGGGUAUAGUCCUCAGUACUCUGCUUUUAGCUAAGCAGCAUUGCCUGCAUUUAUUCAGCCAAUGAAUAUUUAUUGAAGACCUACUAUGUCACAGGCACUGAGUACAGCUAUGAAGAAACAGAAAAGAUUCCUGCUUCUAUGGGACUUAUAGUUCUAU